ACAUGUUUACAACAUAGUGUUAAUGCACUGGAUGCCAUUAUAAUUCCAUAGUUAAGCACGUUCAGGCUAGAGUAGUACUGGGAUGAGUGAUCGCUUGGGAAGUCCUAGUGUUUUACAUGCC
rfam:Picea glauca, whole genome shotgun sequence.